GAUGAACGCUGGCGGCGUGCCUAACACAUGCAAGUCGAGCGAUUUCUUCGGAGAAGAGCGGGCGGACGGGUGAGUAACGCGUGGGUAACCUGCCCUGUACACACGGAUAACAUACCGAAAGGUAUGCUAAUAACGAGAUAAUAUACUUUUAUCGCAUGGUAGAAGUAUCAAAGCUUUUGCGGUACAGGAUGGACCCGCGUCUGAUUAGCUAGUUGGUAAGGUGACGGCUUACCAAGGCGACGAUCAGUAGCCGACCUGAGAGGGUGAUCGGCCACAUUGGAACUGAGACACGGUCCAAACUCCUACGGGAGGCAGCAGUGGGGAAUAUUGCACAAUGGGCGAAAGCCUGAUGCAGCAACGCCGCGUGAGCGAUGAAGGCCUUCGGGUCGUAAAGCUCUGUCCUCAAGGAAGAUAAUGACGGUACUUGAGGAGGAAGCCCCGGCUAACUACGUG
rnacentral:rRNA from 1 species